rnacentral:other from 1 species
GAAUAGCUGUGAUGUACGAUUAGUCCAAUCGUGUGUUGACCGAACAUUUUUAUAAAUUGAAUUGGGAUCUUUUGUAUGUCGGUCGGUUGUAAGCCUUUUCGCUUGGUAACGCAAGACUUGAAAUCGAAGAACCCACCUGCUUAUACUGCGGGUUCAAUACCUCAGGAUGUAAAACGGCAUUAACGGAUAAUUC